rnacentral:rRNA from 1 species
UACGGGGGGUGCGAGCGUUGUCCGGAAUCACUGGGCGUAAAGGGCGCGUAGGUGGUCUGAUAAGGGUGUGGUGAAAGCCCGGGGCUCAACCCCGGGUCGGCCGUGCCGACUGUUAGACUAGAGUACUGUAGGGGCAGGCGGAAUUCCGGGUGUAGCGGUGGAAUGCGUAGAGAUCCGGAGGAAGACCGGUGGCGAAGGCGGGUCUCUGGACAGUUCCUGACACUGAGGCACGAAGGCCAGGGGAGCAAACGGG